rnacentral:rRNA from 1 species
CCUACGGGAGGCUGCAGUAGGGAAUAUUGGACAAUGGGUGAGAGCCUGAUCCAGCCAUGCCGCGUGCAGGAAGAAGGCCUUCUGGGUUGUAAACUGCUUUUGCCAGGGGAUAAAAAGCCCUUGCGAGGGAAAUUGAAGGUACCUGGUGAAUAAGCCACGGCUAACUACGUGCCAGCAGCCGCGGUAAUACGUAGGUGGCAAGCGUUGUCCGGAUUUAUUGGGUUUAAAGGGUGCGUAGGCGGUUCUAUAAGUCAGUGGUGAAAUCCGGCAGCUUAACUGUCGAUGUGCCAUUGAUACUGCAGAACUUGAGUACAGACGAGGUAGGCGGAAUUGACGGUGUAGCGGUGAAAUGCUUAGAUAUCGUCAAGAACACCGAUAGCGAAGGCAGCUUACUAGACUGUAACUGACGCUGAUGCACGAAAGUGUGGGGAUCAAACAGGAUUAGAUACCCUAGUAGUCAGC